AAAAAUGGGAGUACCAGUAGUCUUAACAGUCCGCUCAUCAAUAUUACAUUGAAAGUGAUUCCAGCUAUUCCAGCUUCAAAUUUGAACCAUGAACCAAAUAAUAAUCAAACAAAAGGGUUAAUCAUAUACAUAUAUAUCUUCAAAGUUUGAAACAGUCAUCUUGAAACUAUCAAUUCAAAGUAUACAUACCCCAUUGGAGGUGUACGAGCCACGCCAUUAGCAAUAAGGAACUGAAUGUAGUCUUCGCGAGCUUUGCUGCUGGUGUUCAUGGAAAUUGUGCACUUGCAGAAGCAUAAAAGAACCAAUCCAAUUACAAAUCUAGAUGCCAUUAUCUUCUGUAUAUGCAUAUAAGAACAAGAAACACUGACUUAUCACUCUUACAUUAUGUGUUUAUAUAUAGGGCAGAGGUGAAUUGCACAGGAAAAUGACAGUAGAUGACUCUGCUUUUACCAAUGGUGGCUUGGGUGUCGGUGAAGAGAGAGAGAGACAGACCGCCAUCUUAUUAAAUCUUUCUUGUAGAAUUCAUUUUCAAUAAAUAAUCUUUUUAUCCUCUUUUUGUCAUUUUCAUUAGUAUAUAUUUUUGGAGCACCUGCCCAUCAAUCAAUAUUAAAUUCCCAAAUUAAUAUAGAUGUCUCAGAAAUUGACUUAAUUUUAGUUUUUUUUAUAUUUUAUAUUAUUAUUGCUAUUAUAAUUUGUUAUAAAAAAAAUAUGGAGCAGUUAAAUAUGCCACCCAAAAUCAUUAACUAACUUGGAAUGGAUUCAAAGCGGUGCACUUCACUGUACUAUAGCUACUAGAAAGCUACAAGUAAUGUUGUUUGGUUUGUAUUAUAGAUUUAAAAAAUUACUUAAGUUAAAAAGUAUUAAUAAAGAUUUCUUAUUUCUUAUUUUAUUUUAAAAUUACUAUUCAGUGAAGUCAAAGACCAUAUUGUCUUAAUAAUUUUAAAAAAUAACAAUACUACUCUCGUUUUAACAAACCCUUGACUUUAAACUACCCUCGUUUUGAUCAAUUAAUCAUUAUUUAAUUUAAUUUAUGGUCAAUUAAUAAUUAAUGCACUAAAUCAAGAAUUCAAACUGUGAUGACCUUAUUGCUAUUUGAAGUAAUUAAAAUAUAUUUUUAUGUCUUUACAAAGAAGUUAGACAGCAUUUACCGACAUGAAUCUAAUUCAUUUCCAAGAAGCGACAUAUACGGUGACUUACUUGUUAUAUACCCAUGCAAAUUCAAACAACUUAACACGAAGAAAUCCGCCGCACAUAAAUAUUUUCUUUUUUUAGAUUAAUUUAAUGCAAAUAGAGAAGAGAAAGGAUAGAAAAUGACAGGGAAAAGAAAAAGAUUAACGUACACAUUUCACUUUCAGGUUUCAACCCAAAAACUGACAAAAAAAAAAUAUAUAUAUCCUACAUGAAAAACAAAAGGCUGAUACCCUUUCUUCUCUUGCUUGAUUGAUUGGUCAAAGGAUGGUGAGCUUCAACCUCACAAUCAUCAAUGGUGAAUCCAAAAUUCCAGCUAUGAAUUUGCUCUAAUCAGAAAAAUCAAUGUUUUAUGUUUCAAUUUCCAAAUGCAUGAUAAAAAAGAAUGCCGAUAAAUUUUUUUUUUUUUUUUAAAUCAAUAAAUUAAAGAAAUUGCUCAGAAGUUUAAUAGAACUACGAACGUGAUUGUCAAUUAAGCAUAAUUUAGAAAAAUCAAAAUCGAGAUUAAUGGAAUAAGUACUUAAUUAACUUUUCUUGAUAAGAGUGAGCAGCAAGAAACAACACAAAAAGUCCACGAUAUGAUGCUUUCUUUCGGGGGUGAGAUGUGCAUUCCAUGCGAUUAUGGACAGGAAGCUGAUGGAUAUAUACAACCAUUUGAUGCAAUUAUUUUUGCGUUGAAAUUGACAGUUUGUAGCUACAUAAUAUAAGGUCCAUCUUCAGCUAGAAAUUGAUAACCAUAAACUGAAAUGUCCAAAUAAGUAGGUGAUUGUCCCUCUCAUAUACAAAAAUAAUCAUAAUAAUAAUAAUAAUAAUAAAUAUGCACACACGUGAAAAUAAUUUUGAAAAUUCAAACAAAACAAACUCCAAUCAUACUAGCAAGUGGUACAAAAUAUAAUUGAAAAAAAUUGGGUAUGCAACCAAUCAAAUCAAAUGUGGGCUGGUGUAAACAGUGAGAAAUUUUGAAUUCGAAUUCUUUCAACUAUAAGAGUUUUAACCAAUUUUGUGUGAUAAUAGAAAAACUACCUAUGUUGUAUAGUUUAUUGGGGCUAUUAAUGAAUAGAAAAAAAAAAAAUUUGGGAACACACUUUUUUUUUCAUCAUUUCAAGAGGUGAGGUAAUAAAAGAAAUAGAUACAAAUUGCAUAUUCAUCAUAUAAAAAAAAAAAGAAACUGUGUUCACCUUUAAUGAAUCAACAUUUCUUAUUUGCUUACAUGAGGAUCAGAAGGCAAUAACUUACAGUUAAUUGAGAAGCCUCCAAUACAACAUCGCAAUUUAUGUGUUAGCUACAUGCAUGGCCCUAUACAAUUAAAGAAUACAGCUCUCAAAAAUUACAAAAUUAAAUAAAAAAAAAAUGUAUGAAUCAAUGAAUUGGUUAUUAGCUAAUUGCCAAAAUAAUUUUAACAAAUCUCAAAACUACGUCGACUCUUAUUAAUUUCGACCAUGCAUGGAGUGGUUGUAUAUAUGUCUUUAUGUGUAUAUCAGUAAUUCUCUACAAAAUAUUUACGGUUCUUGAUCAUCGGCGAUCCUUCUCCAUCGACUUCAAUCAAGUUCUUUAUAAUUGCAUCAGUUGCCGUCGUCAAAAAUUCCGACCAGUUCCUGUCAGAAUCCACUCAAAGCUUAAUUAAAAGAAGAAAAGAAUCAGAAAGUGAAAAAGAAAAAGAAAGGGAGGUUAAAAUAUAUACUCUUUAUAGGUGUCAAAUGUAAGUCCAACCGUAUACUUUGCCUCGUGAAGAGCAUCUCUAAACCUUUGAAGGUCCUGCGCAGGACAGCUUCCAUUAUCCUUAACAAGAAGCUCAGAAGGCUUAACAUCACAAAAAAUAGGAAUAACUCUUUUCUUGGUCUCCAUAAUCAAGGACAAUUCAUGAAGACAAAAAUAAGAGUCACAGUAACGCGGAGAGAAAACGGCAAGCCCUAAUUUGGAAUCAAGAAUGGCCGAAUCAAUUUUGUCGAACAAUUUAUCACCAGGUUUCAUGUUCUUGCUAUCCAGGAAAGGCCUAAGCCCAAGUCUUGAAAGAUGAUAGUGAAGCAAACCUGCAAUCGUUCUCUUUGUAUCGAUUCCUCGGUGACUAAUGAAAAUAUCACAUGUGGUGCCCGGUGGUGGUGGUUUAAUGGCGUCGACUUGGUUUUUAAGGAGGAGGUGGCGGUAGUAGUUGUUGUACUGAAGGACUUUACGAGGAAUGUUGGUGAGUGUGACGGAAGAUCUUUGCAUGCUGUAAAUUAAUUAAAUUGAAGGAAAUUAUAUUUUUGAUGGUACAGAAGAGUAAUAAAUCUUCAAAGACAGCAUUGGGAGUUUGGUUGGGGUGUCUGUUUAUAUAAGGUUUUACAAUGGGGAUUUAGAAUUCAAAAUUCUACCAGAGAGAAAAUUCCCGGUAUUUGUUUCGACGACAGACGACAACAAAAAAAAAAAAAAAAAAGAAGAAAAAAUCUUUGAAAUUAUUGACUCUAAUCCUUCAAACACGUCUACUGUUUCUUCUUUCUUUCUUUAUUUUUCGAAUUUUAAUAACUAAGGAUUCGCUGAAGCAGUCUGUUUAUGUUUUUUUGGUUUUCUGUUUUCAGUUUAAUUAACGUAUGAAUGCUGAAGCCAUUGGUUUCAUUUACAUACAAAUAUGCUUUAAAAAAAUAAAGUUUUGAAAAUAUAAUUUUGAAAAAAUAAAAUUAAAAAAAGUUAACCAUGUUUGAUAUUGAUUUUGGACAAACUGCACUUGUAAUAUUUUGAUAAAAAAAAAAAAAGAGAAAUUAUACAUUCCAAGCACGAUUUUUUAAUUUCAUUUUUUUUAUAUUAAUAAUGGAUGGAAAACAUAUAAAAUUAUAAAAAUGCACCUACAAAAAUAUUUUAAGGCUUAAUAAAAUGUGAAAUUAUUAUUUUAAAUUAAUAUUCCACACAUUUUCAUCAAUCAAUAAAAUAAAUAAAUCUAAUCUAAUUAAUCUUUUCAUUAUAUAAAGGGUGAAAGGUCUCGGGUUUAAAAUAUCUCGAUAAUAAAAAUAGAGAGUUACUUAUAUUGUGUUGCUCACGAUGUUCUUUCGUUCUUUCGUUGUAGUAGAGUCUCGGUAAAUUAAAUAAAUGAAAAAAGCUAUGUGUUGUUUAUAUACAAUGAAUUUCUGUGAGCGCAAGUAAUUUUUUUUUUUUUAUUUUGACAUAAAUAAAUCAAAUAGGCUCUAUGCCUCUAUUAAUUUUUUGUUGGUAUUAGGGCCAUGUAGAUGCUAUAACAUUAAGCAUGGAUUAAUACUCUAAUAAUCAAUUUUUUUAGAUACUCUAUUAAUCUUCUUUGACGUUCCUCACUAGUUGAUUAAUUUGUAAUUAAUCACAAAAUAAUCAAUUAGGAAAGGUCGAUUAAUUAAUUGAUUUGAUAUGUUCACUUUGUCCCAAAUUACAAAGCAAUGAAUGGGUACAUGAAAGCAAAAACGGCGAAGGUAUGAACUCCAGACUCGUGAAUUCACAAUGUGAGGCUUGACUCAGCGAAGUGGUCUUAUAUUUGUGUUAGUGGUAUAAUGGACCAUUUUAGGCGACAAGUGUGGAGAUGUAUAAUUUUCUUGCUUCCGUUUGUAAUGAUUUUUCCCUUUCCUUUCAAAGCAUAUGAAUAAAAUUCAAGAUUUCAAAUUCUAUCGAAUUUUGAAUGAUAUAUUGAAAAAUGAAUUCAAAAUAAAAAUUUAAUUUCAAAUAUAUCAAAUCACUUAUAUUUCUUUUUUCAUUGAGAAUUAAUUUAAAAUUCAUAAAAAUAUUGAAAUAAGCACGUGGUGUCAAUCGUUAACAUGAACACCUCAGCUAUAGAUUAGUGAAAAUGACCAUAUUUUAAAAUAACGUUAAUUAGAUCAUUACAAGUUAAUUACAAAUUGUUUUAAAUCAAAUGGAUUUGAGAAAGAAUUUUAAAUUGAAUCAAAUUCUAAUACAUUUGUUAAUAAAGUUAACACCUAAAAUUGUUGAUUAGGAUGGCUGGACCUACUUUUUUAUUUUUUUAAUUGUUGAUUAGGCCCCGGAUAAGAUGCCACGUACAUUAAAACUCAAAAGCAUGUGAAACGACUUAUUUACCCUUAUUUUGAUAAAAAACACAUGGAGUAGUAAGGAUCAAAACAAAACCAUCAAACAAACAAACAAGAACACAUGCAAAUCUAAAGCAAAUCAGCAACAGAUCUAUAUUCCAGAGUAGAUCCAUGUCAAUCACAAAAAUGGAAAAUCACAGGCAAAUUCUCACCAUAAGCACCAGUGAACGUCACCAUACAAGCCCCCACCGGACCUCCGUUGUCGCCGCCGUCCACGGUGACCGGUAAAUUGAGUCUUCCUAGAACUAUGCCAUUCAUACAUCCCUAGACUCGAAAUUUCACAGGGAGAUCGAUUUUGUCGUCCGUUUGUUCAGCCAGUGGCUAGUUUGGCCGGAAUAGGCACCGACAGUCGCUUGGUGCCGCCAUUAAUGGUUGUUUCACAAUUCGAGCUUCGUUGUCGGAAUUGACAGAGGGGAAACGAUCGCAUAAAUGAGGGGAGCCGAUCGGCUCUCGUCCUUCACGUUGAAACACUCGGAAACGGUGAAAAAUCGCCGGAGAUCCAAAGCAUGGACUAUCGACGAAAAUAGGCCCGACUCGCGUCAACGGAGACUCUUUCUGCAUGCAAGGAAGCCGAAAACGUGAACGGAACGUGAAGGGGGUCGACCGCCUCUUUUCUUCGUCGAUUUAGUGUCCGAAAUCGGUCCGCCGGUAGUGGACAGGGACGUCGCGCGGUGAAGAUCGAGGAGAGAGAGACAGGCGUUGAGAUGGGUAACUGAGAAGAUUAAGGGUCUUUUAGGGGUAAAUAGGUCAUUUGCUGCACUUUUUGUGUUUUAAUCCACGUGGCAUCUUAUUUGUCGCCUAUUCAACAAUUAAGGAGUAAAAAAGUGGAUCAGCCAUCCUACGGUGAAUUCCGAAUAUCUAUUUAGGCAAAUUUCACUUAAUUGUAAAAUCAUUGAGAGUUCAAACACUCAAUCAUAAAUUUCUUCUGUUCAUACAUUAAAAUAGAAAAAAUUGCAAAGUUUAUAUACUAAAAUUGCAAUUAUUCUCGUAUAUUUUCAUCUUUAUUCUACUAUAAUUUAUUUGCACAUUUAUUAUAUUAUAAUUUAUUCUAUUAUAGUUUAUGUUAGGUAAUUCAAUAUGAAUGUACAUAAUACAUUUAACUAAAUAAUAAAAGGUGGAAUUUUU
rnacentral:lncRNA from 1 species